UUUUUUGUGUCACGUUUGAACAGAUACCUUUGAGAAGUUUAUGAUUCUCCAAGUUCUCUUUCUCCUACUGUGGCACCUACUGACAAGAUAAAUGUGUAGAGGUUCCUGAGUCUAGGGGCACUGGAACCAGCUGACUGAUCUAUGGAAGUUCCCUUGGUCUCCAUUUGUUUAGAAAAGGGAUGAAGAAACUGAGGCCCACAGAAGGUGGGUGAUACCUGCAAAAUCACAAGCUUUCAUGGUGAAAGAAGAGGGCAAAACUCAACCCGUCUCUUUAGACUUGGGAAGAAUAUGAAAGGACCAGGAGGGACACCUUUCCUAAUAACCUAGCUGAUGGUUCACUUAUUGUAAGCACAUUCUCAAACAAGAGGCUGGAAAGCUGAAAAAUGACAUUCCCAGACUCCAUUGAAAUUAGAUUUCCAGAGGUGAUUUAUGUUCCACACAUCAGAUGUAUAUGCUCAAGAUUUGUUUAACAGGGAAGGAGGCAGUGGUGUGUGGGUCCCUUUUGCUCAUGUGAAUCUUACAGAGUUGUCUCACUAAGCCCAAAUUUGUCUAACUGGCCUUAUUUCCCUGGAGUAUAUCCUGGAAGUUUCCAUUCAAGCCAAUUUAAGUUACUUUAAAUUAGGAAAGGCAGAAAACAAAAGCCCAAACCUUUGUAAAGGAGGAGGAUUUGCUACAUUGUUCUCAAUUCAUCACAGAAGAGGAUGAAACUGAGUGAUUAC
rnacentral:lncRNA from 10 species